AUGUGUUUUACCCAGGAAUUCAGAUAUCCCAGUGAAGCAUUAAGCUUACUUCAUGAAGAUCACUACAGAUAUCAUGCAAAUGUGGGCUUUGGCCCAGGCCACCGAGGUCCACAUGCACAGGUUCCUUUAAGGGAUGUUGAGAAGACUGUGGCUGAAACCUCAUGCAAGUAUAAGUGAAGGAGUCCAGAAUUCACUUUCAUCCUUGAGUGGUCUUCUUGUUGAACAUCAGGAGGAUCCAUAUAAGAAGAGCCAUAGACCUUCACUGCAGUGUGGAAAGAAGUAUCCAUAGCCUUCAAUAUGUGACAUCGGGGUGCCUUUUGUGGGGUAGUGGGAUUGUUGUCACCUUGCUUUGGGUGCAGGAGCCCAGGAGAGCAAUGAAGUAGGAACUGAGCCAGUUCAGACCAUGAACUUUCUCUUUGCAUGCAGUGCAAGAUAAUGAAUGCUGAGGUCCUGCACAUCCUGGAAGUGCUUAUUCCUUGGUUCAGUGGCUUUGUGACAGACCAG
rnacentral:lncRNA from 1 species